AGGGUGUUCACCCGAACCCUUAUGAGGAAUGGAAGAAGCAUGGAUUGAAUCAAAGUGGUUCUCUGGAGUUCCUCCAAAACUGCCAUUGUCCACCAUUAAAAGACUCUAAACAUAAACAUCAUUAUGAUUAUAGAAUUGCUAUUAAUAAAUCUUGUCACAGAGGCCGGCCUGGUGGCACAGUAGACUGUCUUUGAUGCAUGCUGCUUUUCUGAAGAAAAUGGUUUCGUGUGUUUAAUGAACUUCCUUCUAGUGAUCUUCACCUCCUUUGGUUACAAUUUUUUCCUGCUUCCAUUUGUCACUAACAGUUAAUCAUAACUUUUGAACCACAAAAAGAAUAGUGUACUACUUCUUUAUUUUUUCUUAUUAUUUUGACAUGGGUUAUUAGGUCUGUCACUUAGACAAUGAGAA
rnacentral:lncRNA from 1 species